AGUUAUAGAAGGGAAAUGGUGAUUUUCAAACUGUUUGGGUGAAACCUAUACUUUGCAAUAUGGAGAAAAUUGGUCAUAAGAAUUUGAAUAGAAAUCUAAUUUGCUUGCGCUAUUUAAAGGCAAUGUUGCUUUUAUUUUAGACGUACCAGUCUAUUUUUUUAUCAUCUUCUGAAGGAACUUUACUUAAGGUAUGCUCUGACAUUAAUAUAUUCUAUUUUCCCCAUCUUUGCUUUCCUAUCACAAUAACUCAUCGUCAAAUUUGCUUACUUACUAGUUUGGAAAUGGACGUUGUCGAUCCGAUAUGCAUGAGCCUAGAAGAAUUAGAGGAAAGACUUGAAGCUCAACUAGAUCGUAAAGAAAUUAAAGAAAAAUUAUCGGAUUUAUCCGAUCGAAUUCACGCAUUAGACAGUUUUCUUCGCUGUUUACUUGUGCGUUUGGACAUUAAUAUUGAGCUAUGCAUUCAUACCCCACCUUCACCCCUAGAUAAUGAAAGAUUACUGUAAUUUGAAAAUUAAUGAAGCAAUUGCAUUCAUCUUGUUAGAACGUGUUCUUUACUUUUCCCCACUGCAUUGCCAAACAUCAAAUCGCACUAUUGUUAGAAACAAAGGAUCCAGUAGGUUGGGUACAGUCAGUCAGGCGCCAUAUUUCCCUACUAACCCUUAAUCUUCCAUUGAAAUCUAAUUUAGUACUGUACUUAAUUAAUCUAGUCAUCUCUAUCUGCAACCAUUUAGUUUAGGUAAUAACUACUUGCAAUUUGCCCAAGCCAUGCAUGCUAUAGGGGCGCCUCAUAUUUAAUGCAAUGUCAAUAUUCUUAUAUUCCAAAAUAAAUCAUCAACUGAAAUACUAAACACAAAUGACUCUGCCUUUAAUAUGGUCUUUUGGUGUUUUGAAAUUAUUUGAUUAUAUAAAGCAUCAAUUUCCUAUGUUAGUGGUUGGGCAUGAUAAAUUUAAAAAUUCUUUACUUUAUGUUCAUGUACCCUAAAUUUACAUUCUAGUUUAUCAUAAUAACUUUAAAACAACUCUAAUUUAUAUGCAUGAACAAACACAAUUGCAACUUCAACUAUAUCCCCAACUUCUAAGUUAUCACUUCCAAACACAUACUACAAAUACCUCAGCUUAACUAUCCCUUAUCCACUAUAUAAAUAGGGAUCACCAUUGCACUAAACCACUCACCUUCUCCUUAACAAUUACAGAGAACUCUUUCUCGAAAAAAAAAAAUUCUUUCCAGCAAACAUAACCCGUUAAAGUAAUUUAUUUUUCCUUCUCCUAACAUGUCAAGUGUUAAACUGGCUUCCUUUUAUUGUAAACUUUGUAUUUUUUUUAAUUUUCAUUAAUAAUUGAGGCAUACUAUUUGAGACAAUGUUUUAGAUUUAAGUUUUGCAUUCUAAAUAUUAUCUAGGUAAUAUUUAAUUCAUAUUGCAUGACUAAUUUAGAUUUUAGAUGUCAACCUUUUUUUUAAUGUGCUAAAGUUUUUGUUCAUCUAUUAUGUAGCAAUGGAAGAUACAGUAUGGGGCGCGACUGUGUUGAUCAAUGUAGUCAGGGAUCUACAGAGGACAGUGCAUGAUUUAUGCUGGGAGUUGGCCGCCAUUAGAGCGAGGCUGAUUAGGGAGAUGUGUAGAAUUGCGGGUUAUCUACCCAAUGGACCUCUGGAAGAUAAUGAGAAUAGUAAUAAUAACAAUAUUAACAAUAAUAAUUAAGAAUGUUUUUUUAAAAUAAUAUGAUGUUUUAUGUAGUACUUUUUAUCUAGUAGUUUUUAUUGUAUGUAGUAUUAUGUAAGGAUCAGUUUUCAUUGGCUGUAAUCUAGGUACCCAGUUUCGCUUUUAUUAAUGAAGAAUAUGUAUAUUUGCUCCUACUGAUUUUUGUUUAAUUAAUAACUCACACAUGCAGAGCAGUA
rnacentral:lncRNA from 1 species